rnacentral:rRNA from 1 species
CCCCUAGACGUUCUGGGCUGCACGCGCGCUACAAUAAUACGCACAGCGAGUAUCACCGAGCUCAAAAGGGCAAGGUAAACAAUAGAAAAGGUACUGUAAUGGUUAUAGAUCCUUGUAAUUAUUGAUCUUCAACGAGGAAUUCCUAGUAAGUAUGUGUCAUCAUCACGCACUGAUUACGUCCCUGCCCUUUGUACACACCGCCCGUCGCUCCUACCGAUUGAGUGAGCCGAUGAAACUGCCGGAUGUGGACUAUUCAUAGUCUGCAGAAGAUAUUUGAAUCGUAGCGCUUAGAGGAAGGAGAAGUCGUAACA